UCAGCAUGAGGCAUUGUGAUUGAGUUUGAGUUUGUGUUGUGAAAUUUUUGUCGUAUCCGUGUUCAUGAAAGUGCGUUGCUGUCCAUAUUUCUCUAUGCUAAGGCCAUUAUUUUUCAUGAAACAAGACACCAUUGUGAUCUACUCGUUCCACACUAGAACUUUGCUUUUUAUACCAUGCCAUUUGGAGCACUGUAGCGAGAGCAAUUCGUUGUGGAAG
rnacentral:lncRNA from 1 species